UUUUUUUUUUUUUUUUUUUUUUUUUUUUUUUGAGGGGUGAAGAAAGAAUUGAAAUUACUUCUUGUGAUGGUGAUGAGCAUGACAGUUUUGCAGAAGAUGUGGCUUUCUGUGUAUGUUUUACACUGUGUAACAGCACGCUGCUUUUUCAUCAUUUUAACUCUGGUUUUGUUUUGGUUUGGUUCUUGCAUUUGUUGUAAUAAUUUGAUUUUGGCAUUGCUACGAAGUGAUUUCGUUUGUGGACGUUCACGUGACAACUGCUGUCAUACAAUAAAAGGCAUUUCUCAGAAUCCUGUCUUAAGUAUGUUGUCAUUGCAAAUAUGUGGCUGAAGGCAGAAGUUACAGGCUGAGCUAAGUCAGGACAUGUCUGACAUCUCAAAACACCUCUCGGUGGCUUCAGUAGCCCCAAGAGCUGAAAAUCCACUUGGAAGUACAAAACACAGUAAUAAAUGCCAGCUUGGUUUUACCAGUUUUCUCCAGUCUGAGAUCUCUCAGAUCACAUUACCGAUAUUUUUGCUUUAAUUGCCCAAAAGCAUUGCAAAUAGAUUUUAAAAAUUGUGAUGGAAGAACCACUGAAGUUGCACCAGUGCAGACGGGGUAUGGUCUCUGCCCAAAGCAACUGGCAAACUCACUGGGCUGGACAGUGGAAAUGUGGAAGGUCAGUGGGCAGAAGUGAGGUGUGUUAGCAGUAACUCCAAAAUCUGGUGUCACCUCUCAGUCCCGUGUUUCUGUCUGAUGAGUUCGUUGCUUAAUUUAGCAAGACUCUUGAAAAUAGCUUUUUUCUGUAAACCAUACAAAAUUCCUCCCUAUGUCUUCCAUCUUCCAACUGUCUCAAGCACUUCACUCUGCUCUUUUGAUGCAGGACUUUUAGUAUAGGAUGAAUUGUGCUUUUGUCAAUAAUUCCUCAGCAAGUUGCAGGACCUGCUGCAAUAUGAAUUGUCAUCUCUUCUUUUCUACCGUGGAGUAUGCGUUAAAAUUUCUCAUAUUCGUUAAGAAUUUUCUACCAAAAGUCUACCUCACAACCACCAUGUUGCCUCUAAGUGAGUUUGGGUUGUCACAGCACAAGUCACCUGUGGAGUAUGCAAUAUCCAUCUGGAGCUAUAUCCUCUCGGAGCAACCACUUGCCAAAUGUGUGUGCUCCUGUGUUAAUACAGCAGUUUUCUUUUAGAAGUGGAAGAGGGAGAUUUGUUCCCUUGCCUGAAAGAGAGCUGCUGAUAAGUAACAAAGCCAGAGAUGGUUUUUAGGAAUCAGCUCACAAAACAAGCAUGAAUUUCAUAAACUCACUGUUUAAAGCUGGUUUGUAGAUUUGGAGCAAUAUUAAUGUACAGAAAAUCAGGGCCAUACUCUGAUGUAUGAAAUUGCAUUUCAGCUGUCUGCACCUUGGCACCACUUAACUCCCAAACUGGCCUGGAAUCAAUAGCUUCAUCUGUUUUGAGAUACAAAAUUCCCUAUGGAUCUUAGCCAUGGAUCCAGCACAAGCUGAAAAAGUACAAUAACCUUGAGGAGAAACUGGAGGUAAGUCCCACUGCCAUUCAGGAGCCAGGGCACAUCCUGUUUUAAAGUUGCUGGGCUCAACAUGGAUACUGGGAUCAUACUUGAUUUCUUCAAACACGUGCAUUAAAAGCUGCAUGAGAGCUCUUGUCCCUCGCCUGCAUGGGAUACCCUGGUUUUUUAGAGCAUGCUUUUGGGUGUUUUUAGGUUUCCCUUAGGCUGAGCUGCUUGGAUAUUCCUAUCUAGUGCAUGACUGAAACAUAAUAUUGAGGAUCUUUUUGAUGGGAAUGUUCACCAUGAGUGAGUGAUAAGUGGCAUUGUUUACACCAGGACAAAGGAAAAGCCUAGAUUCAAGUCCAAGUUCCAGGCAGUAUUUAUGCGUUUUAUUUGAUUGUCUGUAGAAGCACCAGGAGGAGCUAGGGCUUCUACUCCAUUCUCUCAGCAUAGCUGGGAUGUUGUUGGGCAGCAGGAUCCAUUUGCUCAUGUUCACUCCUGCUCUCUGGCCCCAGUGGGGCAGUGGUGGCCCAGGCUGCAGCUGCCACCACACAGGUCUGACAGGUCUGCCCUUUGCAGUCAGUGCUUCAGCUGUUGGGCAGCUCUAGCAAAACAAAUUUGCUUCUCCUGCCUCCCCAAGGAUGCUGUUGCUCUGAGCACCAUCGAUACCAUCCAGAGCUCUGCUCCAAGAUGGGAUGCUCGCUCUGCCCAGCUGUUCUACUGCAGCUGCUGCUUCUCCAAUAUACGGGCAGUGAAAUCUCCCUAUAGACCAAGCUGUUCUUAGAAGAAAUAAAGCUCCUAACAGAAGGGCUCUGGAAUACUAGCUGAAGUUUCUGCAUUCCCUAUACCCAGAGAAAAAGCACCCAGUUUAUGCAGUUUGCACUGUGUUGCAUCCAAGAGAUGUGUAUCAUCUGCUCACAGUAACAUCUAAAUGUGGUGCCUGAAGUAUGGCUGGUGGAUUGUAGUCAUGCUGGUCAGGCACAUGAGACUUACAAAGAUCUGUGGUGUUUUUUUCUUCUUUUUUCUCUCUUUCUCCCUUACUAUUUUCAGUUUUGGAUAUUUGCUAUGGGGAAUUAAAGUGAGAUGAGAUGAAACAGGGAAAAAUACUUCCCUUUGUUUAAUUCCAGUAAGUUUUGUAGUUUACAGUUCAAGCACAGAUAGCAAAUAAAGGAAGGAGUUAUUUAUCGUUCGUAUUCUGAAGGAAGUAAAUCUUGCUAGUGUUCAUGCCAGCUGACCUUCUUCAUGGAGUUCUCUGUUUUCCAGGAAAGGACUGUAAUUAUGGCAUUAAAUUGAGUUGGGUUGGGAAGUGCAGCCUCAGAUUUAUUAGUCAAAGUUUCACUGUCAACAAAGACUUGUUCUUGAAUAUUACAGGCCUGGAUUUUCUUUUCAAUGUAAGUGCCAAGCAUGAAUAGGGCAAGUGAGCACUGUUGAACUAUCUCUUGAAAACAUUGCCAGGAUAGCAAAAGAGAGUAUUUCUCCCCCUGCCAGCCCAGCUGAGAGGAUUUUUCCUCAUUCUGUACCAGCAGGAAGGCAGCAUUGUACCAAGAAUAUGGACCGCUCUGUGUUUUGGUUGAUUUAACAUGUAUGCACUUUUGCAGAGUAGUGAUUUCCUUGAGUGGAGUUAUGCAAGUAAUUCACAGUGAGUCAUUCAUGCAGUGAAUUGACUGCCUCUUCCCACAACCAGGUUGUCUUCUGACAAUCUUCCUUUUUUUUUUUCUGGAAUUACUCAACAAAUCCUUUUGGAAUUACUUUUAAGUAUUCUGUGUAGAUCACGCGUUUAUGUCUGUGGUUAAUGUUUGUUGAUUUUUUUUUUGAGUCAUAUUCAUAAUCAGUUGGUAUAAAUGUCCGUACCUGCAAAUAAAAAUUUUGUUAUUAUCUGGUUUCAGGGGAGCAUGUGCCUAUUCGUUUCUGUGUGUAUCCCUGUCAAUAAAAAUAGAUUUACUUGAAUGGCACAUCACAUUAUGCAUACACAUCAACACAGAAGGGAAGAGAAUCUACAUUUUUCAAAUAGUUUUAUGGAAAAGUCUCUGCUGCUUUUUCUAGCAGCAAGUGGUAGAGACCAUCAUGGACUUGGGGGAACUGUAAAAUGCCUCUGCACGUGCCAAAAGAAUGUAAAGAACAGCAAGAUGCCUGCAGUCUGCUCGGAUGGAGCAGGGCUGGCAGGAGUCUCCCUGCACAGGUUUUACCUGCCUAGGUUUUUUGUGUGUUUCUGUGCGUGUGAGAAGUUGCAACAGACUGUGCAGAGCCAGUUCAAGUUGCUGAAUGCAGAAAGUGAAAGGCCAGGUGCUGCUGGUAAGCAAAAGCGGGUGUUUGCCUGUGCCAGGCGUGGCCAAAGCCUGUUCCCCUCAGGUGUCCUUACAAGUGCCGUGGCUGACUGUGCCUCUGCCCCAUGGGAGUUAUUUGCCAUGUUUUGGAGGAGAAGAAGCCCCCC
ensembl:lncRNA